rnacentral:rRNA from 1 species
ACGGGAGGCAGCAGUGAGGAAUAUUGGUCAAUGGUCGGAAGACUGAACCAGCCAUGCCGCGUGACGGAAGACGGUCCUAUGGAUUGUAAACGUCUUUUGUACGGGAGGAAUAAGGUCCACGAGUGGGCCGACGACAGUACCGUACGAAUAAGCAUCGGCUAACUCCGUGCCAGCAGCCGCGGUAAUACGGAGGAUGCGAGCGUUAUCCGGAUUUAUUGGGUUUAAAGGGUGCGUAGGCGGGGACUUAAGUCAGCGGUGAAAUGCAGGGGCCCAACCCCUGACGUGCCGUUGAUACUGGGUUUCUUGAAUACGGAUGCUGUGGGAGGAAUGUGUGGUGUAGCGGUGAAAUGCAUAGAUAUCACACAGAACACCGAUUGCGAAGGCAUCUCACAAAUCCGUCAUUGACGCUGAGGCACGAAAGUGCGGGGAUCAAACAGGAUUAGAUACCCUGGUA